AACUGCGAAUGGCUCAUUAAAUCAGUUAUCGUUUAUUUGAUAGUACCUUACUACAUGGAUACCUGUGGUAAUUCUAGAGCUAAUACAUGCUAAAAACCCCGACUUCAGGAAGGGGUGUAUUUAUUAGAUAAAAAACCAACGCCCUUCGGGGCUCCUUGGUGAAUCAUAAUAACUUAACGAAUCGCAUGGCCUUGCGCCGGCGAUGGUUCAUUCAAAUUUCUGCCCUAUCAACUUUCGAUGGUAGGAUAGUGGCCUACCAUGGUGGCAACGGGUAACGGGGAAUUAGGGUUCGAUUCCGGAGAGGGAGCCUGAGAAACGGCUACCACAUCCAAGGAAGGCAGCAGGCGCGCAAAUUACCCAAUCCCGAUACGGGGAGGUAGUGACAAUAAAUACUGAUACGGGGCUCUUUUGGGUCUCGUAAUUGGAAUGAGAACAAUUUAAAUCCCUUAACGAGGAACAAUUGGAGGGCAAGUCUGGUGCCAGCAGCCGCGGUAAUUCCAGCUCCAAUAGCGUAUAUUAAAGUUGUUGCAGUUAAAAAGCUCGUAGUUGAACCUUGGGCCUGGCUGGCCGGUCCGCCUCACCGCGAGUACUGGUCCGGCUGGGCCUUUCCUUCUGGGGAACCUCAUGGCCUUCACUGGCUGUGGGGGGAACCAGGACUUUUACUGUGAAAAAAUUAGAGUGUUCAAAGCAGGCCUUUGCUCGAAUACAUUAGCAUGGAAUAAUAGAAUAGGACGUGUGGUUCUAUUUUGUUGGUUUCUAGGACCGCCGUAAUGAUUAAUAGGGAUAGUCGGGGGCGUCAGUAUUCAGCUGUCAGAGGUGAAAUUCUUGGAUUUGCUGAAGACUAACUACUGCGAAAGCAUUCGCCAAGGAUGUUUUCAUUAAUCAGGGAACGAAAGUUAGGGGAUCGAAGACGAUCAGAUACCGUCGUAGUCUUAACCAUAAACUAUGCCGACUAGGGAUCGGACGGGAUUCUAUAAUGACCCGUUCGGCACCUUACGAGAAAUCAAAGUU
rnacentral:rRNA from 1 species